AGGGUAUGUCUGCUCUUGAUUCUUCAUGUUAUUUAUUUAUUUUUAUUUGCAUCAAACUCCACUUCCAUUAAUAUGCCAAAAUAGGGUCCAAGCAAAGCUAUAUCUAUUGUUAUUCAUGAUUAAUGUUAUGUAAUGGUUACUAUUGUGAAUCUUGUGCCAGUCCAUAUAUACAAUCUCGAAAUGCUUCUUCACUUGUAGUGCUAAAGCUGAAGUUCCCCAAAGCCAUUAGGUGGUCAUAGCUUAAAUUUGUGGGACAUUUUUAUCUUGCAACGGUUAACAUGGACUGCAUUGAAAGCCGCUGGUGCACCACAAGCUUACUGUAGAAAAACCCUAAAUGCUAAAAAGAAACAAGCAUCUGUGCAACUGGAGCAAGUGAACAUAGAUAGCUAUAAGGACUGAUUCAACACUCUUCUAUUGGUGUCCACCCUCGUUGCCAGUGUAACUUUUGCAGCCAGUUGCACAAUACCCGGUGGCUAUAACAACAAUGAACCUGACCAAGGCAUGCCAACUAUGCUAAAACACAAGUGGUUUCACAUGUUCAUUUUCUGAGACACCAUAGCCAUGUAUAGCUCCAUUAUUACUGCUGUUACCCUCUUAUGGGCACAAUAGGGGACCUCAAUUUGGUGCUUACUGCCUACAGAUUGGCACUGCCACUACUGGGGGUCGCUCUCACCACAGCAAGGGGGAAAUGAUAUCAACAGAGAUAUUUCCUUGUUUAAUUUAUUUGAUUUGUUGGUCAAUUGAGUUGUGUUUUUCUUUUGUUUGCCUUUGGUCUUAUAUGUUGGUAUCUAAGUAUCUUGCCAGCAUGUAAUGGUACAUAAUGUUUUGACAUUUUAGUGUUCUAUAAUUGUGGCUGUUAUGUGUUGGAGA